GAUAAACGCUGGCGGCAUGCCUAACACAUGCAAGUCGAACGGAGCGCCUUGGAAGGAGACUUCGGUCAACGGAAGAGGAGGCUUAGUGGCGGACGGGGGAGUAACGCGUGAGGAACCUGCCUCAGAGAGGGGGAUAACACACCGAAAGGUGUGCUAAUACCGCAUAACAUAUGAGAGGGGCAUCCCUUUCAUAUCAAAGAUUUAUUGCUCUGAGAUGGCCUCGCGUCCAAUUAGCUAGUUGGUGAGGUAACGGCCCACCAAGGCGACGAUUGGUAGCCGGACUGAGAGGUUGAACGGCCACAUUGGGACUGAGACACGGCCCAG
rnacentral:rRNA from 1 species